CAGUAGCCGCGGUAAUACGAAGGGUGCAAGCGUUACUCGGAAUUACUGGGCGUAAAGCGUGCGUAGGUGGUGGUUUAAGUCCGUUGUGAAAGCCCUGGGCUCAACCUGGGAAUUGCAGUGGAUACUGGGUCACUAGAGUGUGGUAGAGGAUGGUGGAAUUCCCGGUGUAGCGGUGAAAUGCGUAGAGAUCGGGAGGAACAUCAGUGGCGAAGGCGGCCAUCUGGGACAACACUGACGCUGAGGCACGAAAGCGUGGGGAGCAAACAGGAUUAGAUACCCCUGUAGUCCCUGUCUCUUAUAC
rnacentral:rRNA from 1 species